UACGUAGGGGGCGAGCGUUGUCCGGAUUUAUUGGGCGUAAAGAGCUCGUAGGCGGUUUGGUAAGUUGGAUGUGAAAUCUCCAGGCUCAACUUGGAGGGGUCAUUCGAUACUGCCAUGACUAGAGUUCGGUAGGGGAGUGUGGAAUUCCUGGUGGAGCGGUGAAAUGCGCAGAUAUCAGGAGGAACACCAAUAGCGAAGGCAGCUCGCUGGGACGGUACUGACGCUGAGGCGCGAAAGCGUGGGGAGCGAACAGG
rnacentral:rRNA from 1 species